ensembl:lncRNA
AAACUGCCAAUCCAUCCCUCCACCUUCAGGUCCCCUUCCCAUCCCCACGUCCCCACCCACAAGUCUGUUUUCUCUGUCUGUACCACAGAUAAUCUUGAAUUUCAGUGGCUGCAGUGGAGAAAUUUGAACCAUCUUACUUUUGAUUUAUUCUUAUUCUCGAUACAGCUUUGUAGCAAUGCCACAUACCUUCUUAAAAAACAAAUGAUUGGCACCCAAGUGCAGAGCGGUGAGCUGCACACACGUGCAUCCCUGCGCGCUGGCUGCAGGAGCAACAGGAGGCUGUACUCUGAAGAGUCUUUUCUGGCCUCUCCGUUCACCUCCAGGCAGUGACUCAGGAACACAGAGAUCUGGGCACCACUCGAACGAGGAAUUCCUGGUCAGAGACAGAAACUAUAGUUGGCCCAAAGCUCUUGGCACAAAUGUUUUAAAACUGUUGUUGAGGUGGGAGAGAGGCCAAGACGACAGAGGAGAUGGACUUUGACCACACCUCCUUUCAGGAACACACCAAAAUCACAGCUGCUGAACAAACAUUUCCCAGACUAGCAGAGCUAAACUUUUUUUUUUUUUUUUGGAUGAGACACAUUUUGCUAAAAUUACCUGCUGUUGUUUGUGAUUCCGGUGGUGAUGCUGCCAGCUGGAGAAAAGGGGCGGCAGCUUGACUGAAAUUCUCAUGUUUGAUAUCUUCAAAGUGGAACCCGCAAUUACUUCCCUCCAUUUUAAAUUUUAUAACACAGUGGGGCUACUUAGAUUGUACAAUGUAGUCCUAAGGUUUUUUGAUGUUUUCCCAAAUUCUGAGACUUGUUUUAUAAUCAUGACUGCAUAAAAACUCUCAGUGGCUUAGCAGACUUACAUGGUUACAAAGGAAGCUCACUUCCAUAAAAUACUCAUGUAAUAAAAAAAAAUCUUUUCUUUGGUAUUCAGCUAUGUUAGUGCCCUGGAGAAGAUGAGCCCAUGUUAGUCCUUCACCAUAAAGUUGUAUAUUGUCAUUAUGACAGCAUUCCAAAAGCAUUUGUCAAAAAUAAAAAUAGACCACUUCAUUUCUUUCUAACAUCUUCACAAAGAGGAACAAAAGAGGACCCAAGUACUAGAUAGGAAUGAUCUUGUAAAUACCAGCAUUGAGCAGUGACUACAAUAUGAAAAGAAACCAGCACGAUGAAAGACCUGUUUGUCUAUUUCUCCAUUUUGAUCCCCAAAGCAAGUGUGUGGUUUACAAUGAAAACCAGCUUCACUGAGAGUGUGACUAUGAAAGAGAGAAGCACAAUGGUGCAGAGUAGAGAAUUCUGGGUCAUGAGGGCUGCCAGCCCAGUUUUGUUGCUGACUUGUCAGCAAAUCAUUAACCUCUUUAUGUAUAAGAAUCUUAUUUGUGAAAUGAAGAUCCCUCCACCUGUUCUUAAUCAAGUGUUAAUGGUUAUUAGAAGGAUUAAUUGUACAAUCCCUUGAGUUCCAAAGGGGAAAAUGAGGUGUGGAGGCAGCAGCCAUAGUCUCUGAAACAGAUGCUGUUGUAUAGACCACUGUAGGAGCAGGCUGGGUGGCUUCCCUGGUGGUUCAGUAGUAAAGAAUCUGCCUGCCAAUGCAGGAGCCAUAGAAAACCCGGAUUCAGUCCUUUGUUUGAGAAGAUCCCCUGGAGGAGGAAGUGGCAACCAACUCCAGUACCCUUGCCUGGAAAAUUCCAUGGACAGAGGAGCCUGGUGGGCUACAGUCCAUGGGGUUGCAAAGAGUCGAACACGACUGAGCACACACGCACAGGAGCAGGCCGCCUGUGCUUUGACACUCUCAUUCCCUUAUUUAGGAAAGUUAAGCUAUAAAAAAUGAAUUUUUCAACAAUCAAUAAUUUCCAAAUAAAAACAAUAAGCAUAAGCACCUUUUAAUCACUAUAUUAGAAUCAAUCAUUUCAUCAAUUAAUUAAUCCAUCAAAUUAACAACCAAGAGUAGAAGCACCAUCUAGAAAUUUGCUCCCCCCUGUUGAACCCUUUAUGGGAGGUAGAUAUUAUCCAUGGACAUGUGUGCACCAAAUUCUUUUUUAAGCCAUACAAAGAGCUCAAUGCCUAAGAUCCCAUGAUAGCAUGUAGAAUCAGAAUGCAAAAUUAUAAAUAUAAAAUUUCAAAUAAAUAUGUUCUAACCAUCAUCAGUUUUUAAAAUUGGACAAGCUAAGUCUGAUCAUUAUAUUGUUCUUAUUAAAUGCAUUUUUAAUGAAUAAUAAUUGUUUUAAUUUUCAGGGCUAAAAAAACUGGACUAAGGCUAUAAUAUAAAAAGUUCAGAAGUCUUAGCCAGCAUACUUAAAACAGUUAUGAGAUCUAUCAGUUUUAUC